GGAAGGAGGCUUUGAGGCUAACUCCUCUGUUCCCUGAAGUGCAGAUCAUGUGCUGCCAGCAAGACACAAGAGGGAUGACUCUUUGUUGAAGGACAAGUUAUUCAGUGCACAAGGAGCUCACCUGUGCAGAAUUUCUGAGUUCUGAGCUGGAAAACAUUGCCUACUAAUUAAAACGUGAACUAUGCUUCCUGUAUUAAAGCACUCUGAACUGAUGAAAACCCACACCUGAGGAUCACUCGGCACUACCCUGGGCUCCCCAAGCACACACAGUCCAGAGAUGGUGGAACUCUGCCUCAGGGCCAGAAAAAUGGAUGCAGUUUUGCUCAGCAACGCAGGUGAAGGCAGUUUCCACCUGACUGGGAGUUCUCACGAGCAGGGCUGGACUCUCCUACAGAACAGCCACAGGAUUAGUCCUCAGGAGCUUAAGCACUGUGAUCCCUGUCCUAUGUGCAGCACACCUGGAUGUGUCAGCAUGGUCCAACAGCCCAUUCCCAUGCUGAGACACUCCUCCUCCUUCCUGAACAGCGGUGUUAUUUGGGAUAACCUGGCUUGGCCUGAGCCUGCGUGUAGAAGUGCUCCUCAAAGUGAGACCAUCUGUGCUUCAGCCAUCACCUUCAGGAGCCCACAGAUGCACUGACACAAGCACUUAUCAUCACUGUGAUUUAUUAGCUGCUAAAUUCUCUGCUAAGAUGCUUGAAAGAUAAACAUUCAGCCCUGGAAAAGCUGCAGUCUCUUUUCUCUACUAGGAGUAUUGGACUGCAAAACUGUCUUCAGAAUUUUUCUGACAGAGUAGCGUACAUAAAACUUAGUCACACCAGGCAUUACUUCUGCUUAGGUUUCAGCUAAUUUUCCCUGCACACCAUGAGAACAUCCCUGUAGGUGUUGGAGAAGAAGAGUAAUCAAUGUUUCCUUUGUACUGGGACUGAGAGAAGGGAAUGCUUCUUUGGAGAUGUUUGGAUUUAAUGCCUUCCUAAUUAUAUUUUGAUAGUUAUAUGCCAUUUGUAUGUAGGUUGCAGUUGAAGAAAAAUACACAGAAGCCACAUUUCUGUAGACAGCCUUUGAUAUUACUGUGUUCUUAAUGCUUUCACGUAUCUCUUGUUGAUUUUUCUCUCUUCAAAGUCAACAAUUACUGCUUUUUAAUGAAGAACUUCUACACACUAUUAAUUAAAUCGUUCAGUACUAAUUUCUGAGACAAUGUAAUUUCACAGAGAAAGUUUCUGACAACUGAAAUGAUAAUUUAGAUGUGUACAACUUCAUG